CUGAAUUGUCAACAAGAGUUGUUGCUGGUCCCCAAACAGGGGCAUGUGCACGCUCUGUUCACACAUCCACUCACACCCUGUGCACCCUCUGUAGUUCUAUGGUUGGGGGCCCGUCCUCCUGCUGUCGUUCUGCAUAUUUACACACACACUGUAACAAAGUCUCAUGGAAUGCAUGCCGCGUUUAACGCAAUACAAUA
rnacentral:misc_RNA from 1 species